CCUCGUGAUAUACGUAAAUAUAAAAAGAAAAGUGUCCAUUGACAUAUAGGAAGUUUAUAUCUUUUUAUUUUACGUUUUGUCACUUGUUUUCCUCUGCAUGACUGGGCCAGUAUCUUUCAUAUUACUAUUAAUUGUAUUAUUAUUCCUUACACACUUCACUGUUUGUACAUUUUGCCUUGUGAAAAUAAUUAAAAUCAAAUAACAGCGAUAUUUUAUGCUGUGUAAAUUUAAAUAGUCAUAUUAAUUAAUUCAAUUUAAUAUUCACAGAAUAUUCACGGCGCUUAUUUAUUAAGUGUUAACACGUUAGUUAUGUAUAGUGUAUGACGAAGAAAAAAAACACCUGCGCCGAAGCGAAAAGAUGAUUGGUGGACAUUUUCAGCACCGGCUUAUGAUUGGUUGGCAGAUUAUUAUUGGAAAUUCCAAAUACAAGAUGGCUGCCGUCGACCGGCGUUACGCUAAUACAGUUUCUUUAAUCUUCAGCUGCAGUUUUGGCAAUCAGCGAUGUUGGCAGGAGGGAUACACUGUUCUAGGAACAGGUCUUCUUCGUCGUCGUCCAUGUCCACGUUCUCUGGAGGCCAACGCAGCUCCCCGCUCUCCACCUCGCUCACUUCUGUGGGCUCCACCACGAUGGAUGGCAGACGCUCCUUCUCACGCUCCUGUUCCAGACUGUUCAGCAGAGCCUCCGAGCUCAAAACGAUUUCCACCGGUUCAGGGAAGAUCUGAAUUCAAAGAAAGAAGGGAAAGAAAAAAAACAACAAGGGAUGGAUCCAGCAGGUGGCAGUAUUACGUAAACAUGCAGAGCUUCAGUGAAAUCCAAAGAAGAAGAAGCAAAAACGAGAGAGACUCAGAGCUGUGUGUUUCUUCAAUUCCUGCGAGUUUAUCAACCGGCGUUCAACUCAACAGGCCAUGGUUUAAUACACAUUAUGCUGUUUGUUUGGGACACAACCGUCUCCACCUGGUGAGUAAUCAUCGCUGCACUGGAACUUCAAACACAAGCUUGUGUCCAAAUCCUACCUCAAUCCAUUUUAAGUAACAAGGAGAGCCUGCACGGGGAUUAAAACGUGGGGUGCGGCUCUGCCUGAGUCCUAUUUACAUCCCUUUCUUUUUCCCUCUCUCUCUUUAUCUCCUGUUUUGAUUUUUUUUUUAAUUAAUUAAUAUCAUUUCCAUUGAAACAAAGUACCAGUUUCAAUCUUCAUGACAUUUGGAAGUGAAGAUAGCUCAUCUUUGAGCAGUUUGUCUCCAGUCUUUGAAGAAUUCUAAACUUGUUGUCACGUGAAGGUGAUGAAACACUCGAUAAGGCAGGAGAGGAAACCAGAGAGGAAGUGUCAUCGUGUGUCAACACUAUAAGAACAGUGGCGAUAAAGGUGAUCUUACAGAUGUACGAUAUCACGGUGGAAACUGCCCUUAAACCAGAAAAGGCAAAGCUGUUCUUUUUCGUUUUCAAUCUUUUACACAAAAGUCAUGUUUCCCAAACUUGAGCUCAGAUAUUACGCUGAGCGUCCAAACCAGGACGCCCAGUUCUCGUCCAUCUGGGAUGAGCUUUGGGACAAUCUUGAAGGUUCUGACCCAAAUAUGAGCGAGAGAAUGUGCAGGAACACAAUUCAUCUUCUGCUGCGUUUACAACUGCAGAACACUAAGCUGUUUGUCUGCCACCUGGGAUGGAAACUUUCAGCAGCUAUUAUGAUGAGAAGCUUAACCUCCAUGUAAUCCACUCAUACUGACACACAGAGGCCGAACACCUGCACGCUGCAGCUUUGUCAACAGGCGCUCUGUAUUUCUGUUUUUUAUAUCAGGAUUAUUGACAUCAUUCUGCAAAAAAAAAAGGUAUCGGCCACAUUUUUAGGAAGCCCAGCCUAAACGAAGGUUAGGUGUAUGACCAAAUUAGCAGAAUGAAGCCACAGGAAGAGGAAAUGAUAAGAGAUCACAUAGUUUAUGCAAAAGGAAGAGAACAUUUAGCUCUGCUGCCGUUUCUGUGCACGAAUGUUGCUGAUAAAGUGUAUUUCCUAGCCACUAACCCUAAUCUAAAUAUGACAGAUAUCUGUCCAAUCGUAAUCAUCACCCUAACUUUAAUCUGAUCCAUAUUCUAAUCCAACCUCCAAAUCUUGAUUCUCAACAUGUCCUCAGGACCUCAAACUGUCCCCACAACUGUAGUUUUUUCCCCCGCUCCGUUCUAUUCUGUUCACUUUAACCCAAAUCUCCAAAAUAAAAGUCUACCUCUUCAGGCCCGGGCUCUUUGCCGUGCCGACUGUCAGACUUUAAGGUGCAAAUAUUAAGCGCUUUUCCUGACGACCACUCAGCGUUCUACUGACGGCUGAUACUGACAACACGGCCCGUCGUGGAGUCGUUCCCACAUCCUCUGGUUGUGUACAGCUGAUCUCCUCCACCAACACACCACUGCGGCCCUCGGACAGGAGUCUGCUGUCCAUCCCUCGAACCAAACUCAAAGGUUUCGUGGACAGUGUCUCUCUAGACCCGCCUUUUUACCAUGGCAGUUCCCCGUCCGUCGGAAAACUCUCACUCAGCCUUUUUUCUGGUCGACUUUCGUGUUUUCUUUUGACUAUCACUCAGCCCAUACUUAGGUGAAGCACCUUGGGUUUCCUGAAAGGUGCUAUACAAAUCCAAGGUAUUAUUUUUUAUAUUAUUAUUAUUAUUAUCCCCAGUUUUUUCCGUUUUUGUUUCAUAUUUCUAUGUCAAAAAGUAAAAUGAACUGCAGCAAUCUAACAGGGAUCUGACAGAUCUUUACCCGUUUACUUGUUUGUUUGUUUUUUACCAUUAUAUUUGAGUCUUCUUUAUGUCAUUCAUGUUGCACCAAACACUUGACAGUUUGUGACAUUGUUCUGCGACGUUUCCGUCUCUCAAGGGAAACUGAACAGAACGUUACAGGAUGAUUAUUUACAACACAUGAAACACACAUAGUGAAACCAUUGAUGUGUUCUUGUCUUCCUCUACGUCAGUGUAGGUUGUAGGUUUUGAGGCCACCUCAUCUCUGACCCUGCAGAUGAAAUGACUUACGCUGGAAUUAUUGCUUAAUCUAAGACCUAGAUCUCGAAGGACCUGAAUUUGCCCUUUAAACUCACCCCUGACAUUAUGAACAAACACCUUCCCUUUUACCUAAAACUGCACUUUCACAACUAGUGGACAAUCUUAACUAUUUGAAAAAAUUAAAGUGUUGUCUCACCCCUCCAGAGCUGUCACGUAGCCGUCCUGUUCUUCUUGGCCCAGAUCCAGUGGUGUGAGACAGGAUUCUUCCACAGUGAGUACCAGUGACUCAGGUGGAGGCGCAGGACGAGGAGAGGUGCAGCUCCCGGAGCAUUCUCCCUCUGCAGAGCCCUCGCUGAGGCUUUUGACCUCCAGGGUGACUCUGGGGUUGGUGGGUUUCUAGACCCUGAAAGAUCUCAAAGUGCAAGUUAGGAGCCAGAGCCUUCUUACCCCCCGUCAGUCAGUCAGUCAGUCAGGACCGCACCUGUCUCAUGUGUCUGGAUCAGUACUGGAGCCUGGAUCCAAUGUCCAUCCUCACGUCGUGUCCCUCCCUGUCGCACCCCACCCCGACGACGGCAGGCUUUGGAAGGGAGCGGGAUUAACGUCGCUUUCGAUUACAAAGGCUGCCGGUGUGACGUCAGUCAGGCUUGACAG